rnacentral:lncRNA from 1 species
AACACUUAAUAAUCAAAUUAAGUUGUUCCAAAAAAUCUGAAACAGAAAUAAAAAACGUUAGCAUUCUUGAUAACUAAAACAAAUAAUUAUCUUUAGCCAAGUCAAAGCAUUAACAGAUUUUGAACAAAUAAAUUAUUUGAUCAUGUAAACUGACGAAUUUGAUCACAACUAAAUGCAAAACAAAUACACAAAGUAAAUGCAUUAAAAGCUUAAAAAAAAAAAACCACAAGAACAAACGCUCCACA